GAUGAACGCUGGCGGCGUGCUUAACACAUGCAAGUCGAACGGAAAGGCCCAAGCUUGCUUGGGUACUCGAGUGGCGAACGGGUGAGUAACACGUGGGUGAUCUGCCCUGCACUUCGGGAUAAGCCUGGGAAACUGGGUCUAAUACCGGAUAGGACGAUGUUUUGGAUGCCAUUGUGUAAAGUUUUUUCGGUGUGGGAUGAGCUCGCGGCCUAUCUGCUUGUUGGUGGGGUAAUGGCCUACCAAGGCGUCGACGGGUAGCCGGCCUGAGAGGGUGUACGGCCACAUUGGGACUGAGAUACGGCCCAGACUCCUACGGGAGGCAGCAGUGGGGAAUAUUGCACAAUGGGCGCAAGCCUGAUGCAGCGACGCCGCGUGGGGGAUGACGGCCUUCGGGUUGUAAACUCCUUUCGCUAGGGACGAAGCGUUUUUGUGACGGUACCUGGAGAAGAAGCACCGGCUAACUACGUG
rnacentral:rRNA from 1 species